GGAGAAAUAGCUCAGUCGGUUAGAGCAUGGUGCUGAUAACACCAAGGUCACAGGUUUGAUCCCCGUUUGGUCCC
rnacentral:tRNA from 1 species